GUGUGAACCAGUAACCGCCACGUCCGCCGCUCACAACCGCCGUGAAGCCAGCCGCGCAACCUUCGUUCCAACCGCUGCACUGCCGCGCGAUUCUCCGGCCACGUCUUCUUUAGCCGACCGCUGACCGACCCACACUCUUUUCUCUUCUUUUGAGGGUAAGUUGAGAUUCCCUCUGCAAAAGUUAGAAGGGAAAGAAAAAAAAAACUAACAAUCAUUCUCAAAUAGAAGCUUUCAACACAAAGCCUCACCCUCUGAUUUUUCUCUUCACUUCUCACCUCUCUCUUCUCAACUUUAAUGUGACUCAUUUUGUUUCUAUUUGCUGUCACAUUCUUCAAUUUUUGAUUUGGGUUUUUCCCCCUCUUUUUACCUUAGAUGAAUGCUGUUGUGAAUUCUUCUUUUCUUUAUACACAUAUGUGCAGAACCUUCAUCGUAUGAAUAUGUAAAAACAAUAGUUAUGAGUUGGUCUUAUGGUAAAUAGAGAGUAUGGCAUUGCUUUGUCUCAUAAUUUUAUUGAAUUGUGUUUUCUAACUUCGUUCUUUUAACUUUAUAAUUUUCAAUGCAAUGUUGAUAAUUUGUGAUUUCAGAGAAGGCUUGAUGACAUACACACCAUUUAUUGCAAGAACUUGAAGAAGAUGAGAUAUUGGUUGUUGAAGUUGAGAGCAUGUAUGUUGAUCUUUUUAGUUAUGUGGAACUUCAUUUUUUAUUUUAGAUAUCAAGAAUACAAGUCAAAGUAUAUUACAACACAUAAACAAGCCUUUUUCUCACAAGGAUGAAGAAUGGUUGGGAGACAAAUAUGAUCCAACCAAGGGUUGCACAGUUAUAGUUGUUUGAUUUUGUAGGAAUGUAAUUUCUGGAUGUAACUUCAUACUUAGAACCGAUUGAUUCUUA